rnacentral:lncRNA from 1 species
UUCCCUCCAUGGCCGAACCACCUUGAGAGAAAGAGAGAAAGAAAGCUUCAACUUCAACCUCCAUUCCUUGCUUGAAUCUUGAGUUCCAACCAUAGAUUUUGCAAAAUACUCCAUAAAAGUUGUUCACUAGGGAAGAUUAAGGGCUUGAGUGGAGAGAUUUUUUGGAGGAAAAGCACUAAGUUUCCAUCUUUCUUGAAGGUAUAAGGUAACUUUGGCAAGAAACUUUCCUCUACUUCAAAUAUAUGCAAACUAGUGGUUUAGGGUUUCAAUUUCGGUAGUUUCAUGAGAAAAUUUCAUGGUUUGAAGUUGUGAUGUGAAAUUUUCAGUUUUUAUGGUAAUUUUCUGCCCACGUAUGAUGCUUAAGUGUUGGCCAUGGCUUGGUAGCUUUGCUAUGUGAAAUAUAUAGGUUUUAUAUGCUAGUUUGACAUGCCUAAAGAAAGUUCCAGCUUGUGAGUAGGAAUUCCAACUUAGGGUUUCAUUUUCUAGCUUGAGUAGGGGAUGGUUAUAUGCUUGAUUUAGUGAGUUGUUGGCUUGGUAUGUAUAUGCUUGAUUUGAGGCUGUUUUGUGGUGAGAAUGAAGCCUUGAAUUGGCUGGAAAAAUUGCUAAAAACAAAGGAGGUGCUGCUAAAAAUUUGUCCCCAGGAACCCUUGGACAGUUUUCGAAAAUCUGCUAUAUCUUGUUGUAGAAAAGUCGGAAUUGAGUUCCGUUUAUUGCGUUUGAAACUAGAGUCAGAGUACUAUCAACCGUCAACAUUUCAGCCUUUUUCUCAAUUCCCAUGAAUAUCUGUGAUUUUUCAAACUUGACUGAAAUUGCAUACCUGUUCUGUCUUUUACUGGAUGAAGUAGCAACUUGAGGCUCGGAUUUGACUGACUUAGGGACUGAAUCUUACAAAUGUGUCUUCUGGGAAAUUGUAACCCUUUGUGCCUAUUUUCCGACCGUAUAAAGUUUAUCAAUUUUGGACUUAAGAAACUUAAGAUAUGAUUUUUUAAAUAGUGUUGUGCAAAGCUAAGAAAUUCUCUUCUCUUAGAACUGUUUUACUUUCAUUUUCCACUUUAAGUGUGGAGUUGGUCUUUCAUUUUGGGUAUGGUUUAUGCAUGGAAUUGAGAUUUAAGAAAAAGAAAAUGAAGUCUUAGAAACCUUAAGUUCUUCAUGUAUUUUAGUUUUGUUUUGCUAGUCUUUUACUAUAGUAUGUGACCGCAGGACUCGAGAUGGUUCAAGAGGACAAACCAGCGUUCAAGUGCAGGGUUGCAUUUGAUUAGUGAGUGUACCACUCGCAUGACUUGUUGCUUAAU